rnacentral:rRNA from 1 species
CUACGGGCGGCAGCAGUGAGGAAUUUUGCGCAAUGGGCGAAAGCCUGACGCAGCAACGCCGCGUGAGUGAUGAAGGCCUUCGGGUCGUAAAGCUCUGUCAAGUGGGAAGAACCUAUGUAAUGUUAAUAUCAUUAUAUACUGACGGUACCACUGAAGGAAGCACCGGCUAACUCCGUGCCAGCAGCCGCGGUAAUACGGGGGGUGCAAGCGUUAUUCGGAAUCAUUGGGCGUAAAGGGCACGUAGGCGGCCUGGUAAGUCAGAUGUGAAAGCCCGGGGCUUAACCCCGGAAGUGCAUUUGAUACUGUCAGGCUUGAGUAUGGGAGAGGGAAGUGGAAUUCCUGGUGUAGAGGUGAAAUUCGUAGAUAUCAGGAGGAACACCGGUGGCGAAGGCGACUUCCUGGACCAAUACUGACGCUGAGGUGCGAAGGCGUGGGUAGCAAACAGGAUUAGAUACCCUCGUAGUC